GUUGUAUGGUUAAGUGACAAAGCGUAUACGGUGGAUGCCUUGGCAGUUAGAGGCGAUGAAGGACGUGUAAGUCUGCGAAAAGCUGUGGUGAGCUGACAAAACGCAUUUGAGCCACAGAUGUCCGAAUGGGGAAACCCACCUGUUUACAGGUAUCGUUGCAUGAAUACAUAGUGUAACGAAGCAAACGAGGGGAACUGAAACAUCUAAGUACCCUUAGGAAAAGAAAUCAACCGAGAUUCCCUUAGUAGCGGCGAGCGAACGGGGAGCAGCCCUUAAGCAUUGAAUGAGUUAGUGGAAGCCUCUGGGAAGUGGCGCGAUACCGGGUGACAGCCCCGUACACGACGGCAAAAUCAAUGUGAAAUCGAGUAGGUCGGGACACGUGUUAUCUUGACUGAAAAUGGGGGGACCAUCCUCCAAGGCUAAAUACUCCUAACUGACCGAUAGUGAACCAGUACCGUGAGGGAAAGGCGAAAAGAACCCCUGUGAGGGGAGUGAAAUAGAACCUGAAACCGUAUACGUACAAGCAGUGGGAGCACCUUCGUGGUGUGACUGCGUACCUUUUGUAUAAUGGGUCAGCGACUUAUAUUUGGUAGCAAGGUUAAGCGUAUAGCGGAGCCGUAGCGAAAGCGAGUGUUAACUGCGCGUUUAGUUGCCAGGUAUAGACCCGAAACCCGGUGAUCUAGCCAUGGGCAGGUUGAAGGUUGAGUAACAUCAACUGGAGGACCGAACUCACUGACGUUGAAAAGUCAGGAGAUGACUUGUGGCUGGGGGUGAAAGGCCAAUCAAACCGGGAGAUAGCUGGUUCUCCCCGAAAUCUAUUUAGGUAGAGCCUCGGACGAAUUCCAUUGGGGGUAGAGCACUGUUAAGGCUAGGGGGUCAUCCCGACUUACCAACCCUUUGCAAACUCCGAAUACCAUUGAGAACUAUCCGGGAGACACACGGCGGGUGCUAACGUCCGUCGUGGAGAGGGAAACAACCCAGACCGCCAGCUAAGGUCCCCAAAUAUUGCUAAGUGGGAAACGAUGUGGGAAGGCACAGACAGCUAGGAGGUUGGCUUAGAAGCAGCCAUCCUUUAAAGAAAGCGUAAUAGCUCACUAGUCGAGUCGGCCUGCGCGGAAGAUGUAACGGGGCUAAGCAAUAUACCGAAGCUGCGGCAAUGCGAUUUAUCGUAUUGGGUAGGGGAGCGUUGUGUAAGUGGAUGAAGGUGAACUGUAAGGUUUGCUGGACAUAUCACAAGUGCGAAUGCUGACAUGAGUAACGAUAAUGGGGGUGAAAAACCCCCACGCCGGAAGACCAAGGUUUCCUGUCCCAUGCUAAUCAGGGCAGGGUAAGUCGGCCCCUAAGGCGAGGCAGAAAUGCGUAGUCGAUGGGAAACGGGUUAAUAUUCCCGUACUUGUAUAAUCAGUGAUGGAGGGACGGAGAAGGCUAAGCAAGCAUGGCGUUGGUUGUCCAUGUGAAAGUGCGUAGGCUGAAAACUUAGGUAAAUCCGGGUUUUCAAGGCCGAGACACGAGACGAGCUCCCAAGGGAGUGAAGUUGUUGAUGCCCUGCUUCCAGGAAAAGCUUCUAAACGUAUGAUUAUGUGAACCGUACCCCAAACCGACACAGGUGGUCAGGUAGAGAAUACUAAGGCGCUUGAGAGAACUCGGGUGAAGGAACUCGGCAAAAUAGUACCGUAACUUCGGGAGAAGGUACGCCACCGGCGGUGAACGCUUUACGCGGUAAGCUGUUGGUGGUCGCAGUGACCAGGUGGCUGGGACUGUUUAUUAAAAACACAGCACUCUGCAAACUCGUAAGAGGACGUAUAGGGUGUGACACCUGCCCGGUGCCGGAAGGUUAAUUGAUGGGAUUAGCGUAAGCGAAGUUCUUGAUCGAAGCCCCGGUAAACGGCGGCCGUAACUAUAACGGUCCUAAGGUAGCGAAAUUCCUUGUCGGGUAAGUUCCGACCUGCACGAAUGGUGUAACCAUGGCCACGCUGUCUCCACCCGAGACUCAGUGAAAUUGAAAUCGCAGUGAAGAUGCUGUGUACCCGCACCUAGACGGAAAGACCCCGUGAACCUUUACUACAGCUUGGCACUGAACAUUGAACCUACUUGUGUAGGAUAGGUGGGAGGCUUUGAAAUGCAGACGCCAGUUUGCAUGGAGCCGUCCUUGAAAUACCACCCUGGUAUGUUUGAUGUUCUAACUUAGACCCCUUAUCGGGGUUAAGGACAGUGUCUGGUGGGUAGUUUGACUGGGGCGGUCUCCUCCCAAAUAGUAACGGAGGAGCACGAAGGUUAGCUAAUCACGGUCGGACAUCGUGAGGUUAGUGCAAUGGCAUAAGCUAGCUUAACUGCGAGACAGACACGUCGAGCAGGUACGAAAGUAGGUCAUAGUGAUCCGGUGGUUCUGUAUGGAAGGGCCAUCGCUCAACGGAUAAAAGGUACUCCGGGGAUAACAGGCUGAUACCGCCCAAGAGUUCAUAUCGACGGCGGUGUUUGGCACCUCGAUGUCGGCUCAUCACAUCCUGGGGCUGAAGUCGGUCCCAAGGGUAUGGCUGUUCGCCAUUUAAAGUGGUACGCGAGCUGGGUUUAGAACGUCGUGAGACAGUUCGGUCCCUAUCUGGUGUGGGCGUUGGAUGAUUGAUGGGAGCUGCUCCUAGUACGAGAGGACCGGAGUGGACGAACCGCUGGUGUUCGGGUUGUGAUGCCAAUCGCAUUGCCCGGUAGCUAUGUUCGGAACGGAUAACCGCUGAAAGCAUCUAAGCGGGAAGCCGGCCCAGAGAUGAGUCAUCCCUGAACUUUAAGUUCUGGAAGGGUUGUUUAAGACUAAGACGUUGAUAGGCAGGGUGUGGAAGCGUUGUAAGGCGUUAAGCUAACCUGUACUAAUUGCCCGAGAGGCUUAACCAUACAACCCAAAGCG
rnacentral:rRNA from 1 species